rnacentral:rRNA from 1 species
UACGGAGGGUGCGAGCGUUGUUCGGAAUCACUGGGCGUAAAGGGCGUGUAGGCGGUCUGUUACGUCUGAUGUGAAAGCCCGGGGCUCACCCCCGGAAGUGCAUUGGAUACUGGCGGACUCGAGUCUCGGAGAGGAGGGUGGAAUUCCUGGUGUAGCGGUGAAAUGCGUAGAUAUCAGGAGGAACACCGGUGGCGAAGGCGGCCCUCUGGACGAUGACUGACGCUGAGACGCGAAAGCGUGGGGAGCAAACAGG